rnacentral:misc_RNA from 1 species
AACAUAUUGAAAUUUUAAAUUGAGAACACUUGAUACUCAAAUUCCCAGCCCUACAUUGCACGGUUUAACAAUUUACUCCCUUGAUGCAAUAAAACAACCCGAUUCCCUAUUGACGUUUUGACACAGAUGCCUGGUCUACAGUCCGCACUGUAUUUGACAAGGAGCAAGAAAUACAUUAGCAUUGCCUAGUAUAUCUCAUCGUCGGGAAUGUCCGGUGUCAAGAAUUUUCUAGGAUCUUUAUUGAUCUCUUCGUAGUUCAUUUUAGACUUCACCCGCUCUGGCACAGGUUGAAGCGGAAUGAUAGAAUCCCUGUCGAUGACAGCAUCUAUAAUACCAUAUUCAACAGCUUCAAUUGGUGACAUGUAUCGGUCUCGGUCAAUAUCUUUCUGAACCUGUUCGAACGUUCUGCCAGUGAAACUGGAGAUAAUUCUGGUCACAUUGUUCUUAUUGUGCAUUAUCUCUCUGGCCUGGAUCUCCACAUCUAUGGCUUGGCCACUUGCACCUCCAAGGGGCUGAUGGAGCAUGAUGCGUGUGUUGGGCAUUGCGAGCCGCUUGCCUUUGGUGCCACCACCGAGGAUAAUGGAAGAUGUAGAUGCUGCAAUGCCGAGUGCGACAGUUGAGACGUCUGCUCUAACGAGCUGAAUCACGUCAUAGAUAGCCAUGGUAGCACUGAGCGACCCGCCAGGCGAAUUGAUGAAGAGCCGGAUGUCCUUAGUAUGAUCCUGAGCGUCGAGAAGCAGCAGCUGACUAAUGAUAGCAUCCGCCACGUAAUCAUCGACCUGGCUCCCGAGGAACACGAUCCGCUCCCGCAGCAGAAGACCCAUCGGAUCCGCCCCGGCCGCCGCCAUAGCCGACGGCGGCGCCUGAGGCGACGAAGACACCGUAUCGGCCCAUAGCCGCGGCCCUGGGGCGGCAGCGGACGGGGAGGGCGAGGGAGGGGCGGAGACGAGGGCGCGGGGGCGGAAGGGGGCAGACCGGAGGAGUUGAAGGCGGGGAGUGGGAGAUUUGGGGCUGAGGGGAGAGGAGGAGAUUGAGGGUUUGAGGGGGCUGGAGAGGGAGAGGGAGGUCAUGGUGAGGACG